UGGAAAAUAGCCAAGUGGUAAGGCCACAGAUUUUGAGUCUGUUAGCAAAGGUUCGACUCCCUUUUUUCCAA
rnacentral:tRNA from 1 species